CAAGGUUGACCUCGGAUCAGGUAGGGAUACCCGCUGAACUUAAGCAUAUCAAUAAGCGGAGGA
rnacentral:rRNA from 1 species